rnacentral:rRNA from 1 species
GGCCAGACUCCUACGGGAGGCAGCAGUGGGGAAUAUUGGGCAAUGGGCGCAAGCCUGACCCAGCAACGCCGCGUGAAGGAAGAAGGCUUUCGGGUUGUAAACUUCUUUUGUCAGGGACGAAGCAAGUGACGGUACCUGACGAAUAAGCCACGGCUAACUACGUGCCAGCAGCCGCGGUAAUACGUAGGUGGCAAGCGUUAUCCGGAUUUACUGGGUGUAAAGGGCGUGUAGGCGGGGAAGCAAGUCAGAUGUGAAAACCCCGGGCUCAACCUGUGGCCUGCAUUUGAAUCUGUUUUUCUUGAGUACUGGAGAGGCAGACGGAAUUCCUAGUGUAGCGGUGAAAUGCGUAGAUAUCAGGAGGAACACCGGUGGCGAAGGCGGCCUGCUGGACUGCGACUGACGUUGAGGCCCGAAAGCGUGGGGAGCAAACAGGAUUAGAUACCCGCGUAA